AAUCUUGGACAAGGGGGGAAACCCUGAUCAAGCCAUCCCGCGUGUAUGAUGAAGGCCUUCGGGUCGUAAAGUACUUUUGGCAGAGAAGAAAAGGUAUCUCCUAAUACGAGAUACUGCUGACGGCAUCUGCAGAAUAAGUACCGGCUAACUACGCGCCAGCAGCCGAGGUAGUACGUAGGGUGCAAGCGUUAAUAGGAAUUACUGGGCGUAAAGCGUGUGUAUGCGGUUCGGAAAGAAAGAUGUGAAAUCCCAGGGCUCAACCUUGGAACUGCAUUUUUAACGUCCGAGCUAGAGUAUAUCAGAGGGGGGUAGAAUUCCACGUGUAGCAGUGAAAUGCGUAGAUAUGCGGAGGAAUACCGAUGGCGAAGGCAGCCCCCUGGGAUAAUACUGACGCUCAGACACGAAAGCGUGGGGAGCAAACA
rnacentral:rRNA from 1 species